rnacentral:lncRNA from 1 species
CCAACUUUGAGGUGUUCCGUUGUCGCCUCAGACGAAGCGAAGGACUCGAUGGAGUCGUCCGUGAUGAAGGCAAAGCAAUCAAACAAGGCAGAGUCGAUGAGAGAAGGUGGUCGGGACGGCGCAGAGGAUGCAGGAGGCGGCCAAGGAGACGACAGGAAGGACGACGACGACGACGCAACCGUGUGCAAGUGGAGGCAACGAAGCACGGAAGGAGUGUGUGAGAGGUUGACUUGUCACAUGUGGGAACUACAGAGAAUGGUUAUCUACAGACGUUUCGAAAGGAGGACUUCGAUUCAUGUCACUUUCGAUCACGCGAACUCCGGCGGAGGCGGCAGGUUGAGAUCCAAAUCGAAGCGAAUCGUGUCCGUCGGCCAGACGGAUGUUGGGGAGCGAGGACAAUCCACCACCGAGGACGAGUCUGAGUCGCUCUCCACCCCGCCACAAGCCGGCCCUCUGAAAUCCCUAACCGCCGCCGAUUUCUUGGCAGCAGCGAUCAGGUCCGAGUGCGGGAAGGGGGACAGGGAGGACGGCCGCCGCAGCGCGAGAUUUAGCGGCGAGGGACCGACGGCGGGCCGCCUCGAGGAGGUGGACGACUCGAUGGUGCUGUUGCUGGGGCUGGCUGGCGCCGCCGUUCCGGCCGCUAAUCCGGUGGCGCAGGCGAGGGAUUCGGCGGGACAGGGAAAGUUGGUCUUGGCUUUGGGGCCACGGAAUCGGCAGGCGGCGGCGUCGUAGGCGCGGGCGGCCUCCUCGGCGGUGUCGAAGGUGCCGAGCCACACGCGGCACUUCUUGGCCGGGUCCCGGAUCUCCGCCGCGUACCGCCCCCAUGGCCGCUUCCGGACGCCCCGGUAGUGCAUCCCCUUCC